UUUAUUAAUAACCAUAAUGAGUGAGGAGCAUGAAGGUAGAGACCCUUAUUGAAAGCAAGGAAUCUUCCUUGUAAUCCCCUUGGGACACUCUACUUCCAGGUCGACACUCAAAGGGGGUGGCAAAGACCGUAACAAAGCAGCGAGUGGAGUCACAUUUUGACCUUGAGCUGCGGGCAGCUGUGAUGCAUGAUAUUCUGGACAUGAUGCCUGAAGGGAUCAAGCAGAACAAGGCCCGGACAAUCCUGCAGCACCUCAGUGAAGCCUGGCGCUGCUGGAAAGCCAACAUUCCCUGGAAGGUCCCCGGGCUGCCGACGCCCAUAGAGAAUAUGAUCCUUCGAUACGUGAAGGCCAAGGCUGACUGGUGGACCAACACUGCCCACUACAACCGAGAACGGAUCCGCCGAGGGGCCACUGUGGACAAGACUGUUUGUAAAAAGAAUCUGGGCCGCCUCACCCGGCUCUAUCUGAAGGCAGAACAGGAGCGGCAGCACAACUACCUGAAGGACGGGCCUUACAUCACAGCGGAGGAAGCAGUGGCAGUAUAUACCACCACAGUGCAUUGGUUG
rnacentral:sRNA from 1 species